rnacentral:misc_RNA from 1 species
CCGAAUGCUGAUCCGAGAAGUGCAUCGAGAUGAAAUACUUCCCAAAUUUCUCAAAAGAUUUUUCACCAAAAACCUGGUCAAGAACGGCUUCUGUGAUCAAAUCUGCAGCAACUUCCUUCGAUUCAGAAAUUACGCUCAACUCUUCAGGAACCCAUUUUCUACCACUGGGAGGCGUCAAAAUCCCAGCAAAUCUUUGCAUAUCCUUCAAAUCCUUUUGCAUUCCUUUGGCAGCUUUCUUCCUCGCCACGGCAAAGAUAAUAUGAUCCAUCGCAUCCGGG